rnacentral:rRNA from 1 species
CACGUAGGGGGCGAGCGUUGUCCGGAUUUAUUGGGCGUAAAGAGCUCGUAGGCGGUUUCGUUAGUCGGGUGUGAAAACCCCAGGCUCAACCUGGGGACGCCACCCGAUACUGCGAUGACUAGAGUCCGGUAGGGGAGUGUGGAAUUCCUGGUGUAGCGGUGAAAUGCGCAGAUAUCAGGAGGAACACCAACGGCGAAGGCAGCACUCUGGGCCGAUACUGACGCUGAGGAGCGAAAGCGUGGGGAGCGAACAGG